rnacentral:rRNA from 1 species
GACGAACGCUGGCGGCGUGCUUAACACAUGCAAGUCGAACGGAAAGGCCCUGCUUUUGUGGGGUGCUCGAGUGGCGAACGGGUGAGUAACACGUGAGUAACCUGCCCUUGACUUUGGGAUAACUUCAGGAAACUGGGGCUAAUCCCGGAUAGGAGCCCCUGUGGCUUGUUGGGGGUUGGAAAGUUUCGGCGGUUGGGGAUGGACUCGCGGCUUAUCAGCUUGUUGGUGGGGUAGUGGCUUACCAAGGCUUUGACGGGUAGCCGGCCUGAGAGGGUGACCGGCCACAUUGGGACUGAGAUACGGCCCAGACUCCUACGGGAGGCAGCAGUGGGGAAUAUUGCACAAUGGGCGGAAGCCUGAUGCAGCAACGCCGCGUGCGGGAUGACGGCCUUCGGGUUGUAAACCGCUUUCGCCUGUGACGAAGCGUGAGUGACGGUAAUGGGUAAAGAAGCACCGGCUAACUACGUG